GGAGAGGUGGCUGAGUGGUCGAAAGCGGCGGUCUUGAAAACCGUUGAAGGGAAACCUUCCGGGGGUUCGAAUCCCUCCCUCUCCGCCA
rnacentral:tRNA from 1 species